rnacentral:lncRNA from 1 species
CAGACCUAAAGGGAAACGUGUAUAUAUUUAUUACAACAAAUUUAAAAUGUUUUAUAAAUUUACUAUUAAUAGAUAGUAAGAAAGGAUAUGUGCUGUCUAAGGUAAGGUUAUGUGAUCUAAGUAAAUUGGUGCCAUCUAAAUUAAAGAAUAUUUUAGAAAAUCCAUGCAAAAGAUUUUUCACGCAAGAUUAUUUAUUCUAUAGAAUUUAAUUCAUUCAUCGAAGAUAAAACAUGUAAAAAAAUUAUGCAUUUUUAGUUCUAAUUGGUUUUCUAUAAUGAAUGAAUAUUGUGUUUCUUAUUUUCAUUUAACUUUUUGAAAAUAUUUUUUUAAAAAAAAAUUUGAAAAUGUAUGAUGCAUGAUUCAAUAUUUAAAAAGAAGAUUUGAUUAAAAAAAACAUGCAUCACGCAAUCCUAAGGAUUAUCAUUUCCUGUUCUCUAAUUGUUUUACUAUCUUUGAUUAUGAAUCAAAUGUAACAUGCAUUUAAAUUGAUCGAAAAAUCAGAAAGUUGAUUAAAGCUCGAUCACUCGUUACAUUAUGUGGUGCUGUAUUAGAGAAAAAAAUGUAUUGAUAGUAGAUUUUUGUGUUAAUUAAGAUUUUGUGUUAUUGAAAAUUGAGCACACUACUAAUCAAUUGCUUUUUUUUCUAAGAAAAACUAAUGUUGAAAAAAGAUAUUUUUGUAAUACAGACCCCCUCUUACCCGACUUUUUGACUAAUGAUCGUCUUUACAUCAAUCAACAUGUGUAAAACCAAUGAAAUACAACAUUAUACCGUUACAAAAACUCGAUGAAUUAAUUUAAAUUUUUCAAUAUUAAUAUAUUAUUUAUCAAUAAAUAACUAUAAUAUUGUUUUUGAUGAUUAGACACAUGUUUAUAAUUCCGAGGAGACGAGAUUCAUAAGGCAUAGGAAACACAUAAUAUGGAAACCAGGAUAAAACAGGAUAGGACAACAAAUAACAUCAAUAUAGUCCAGAACAUCGCUGAAAGUCUGAGUUUGUUGAUAAUGGUCCAACGUCAUUGUAAGCAUGUUCAAUCCGAUGAACAACAUAAUUAUCAUAUCGAACUUUUUGUCUGUCACUAUUUCAAACACUAUUGCUUGCGGCCUCCACUGGAAAAUAGAGGAGAAAAAGAUUGAUAUUAAAAUAUUGCAAUUGAAAGAUUUGAGAAAACGAAAUUAAUAGAGGAAUAAUGAGAAUAUGUUGAACUAUGAACGUACCCUUGGACGUGGAAUGGCUUUAAGUGGUUUCUUGCUACCCAUCUUUUUCAUAGCGUUGUAAUAUUUCUUCUGAUCUUCUGUCAUGAACAUCUCGAGGGAACCUCCUGCCUUUUUCUUUUGUUCGUUAAAGUUAUCGAUGAUCACACCAAUGAAUAGAUUAAGGGUAAAAAACGAUCCGAAUAUAAUGAAGAAUACAAAAUAGAAAUACAUGUAGAUGUUCGUUUCACGAAUUGGUUGUUUGUUGAGCUACAAGCAAGAAAGAAAAAGAAAAAAAGGAAAUCCACAAAAAUAUGAUGAUUUUUCAAAUGGCAAAUCUUUAAUUUCAACGCACACUCACCUCCCUAGAGUCGAUGGCAUCGUUCAUGAUUUGAAUCCAUCCUUUGAACGUAGCCACUUGAAACAAGCAUAAAUAAGCUUUUCCUACGUGGUCAAAAUUCAUUGGAGAAUUUUCCCAAGUGUAGUUCUCAGCCAAGCAGGCGUUUCGAUCAGGAAUGAUUUCAUGGCUGAGUGUUGUUUUAUUCGCAUCUACACACUAGAUUAUAAGAUGUAUAAUAUAAUAUAAAGACAUACCUUAAAAUAUUUGCCGGCAAAAAGCUGUACACCCAUAAUGGCGAAGAUCAACCAGAAGAUAAGACACACCAGUAACACGUUGAAAAUGGAUGGAAUGGCUUGAACCAAAGCAUUGACGACUACCUGUUAGACAAAGUAUAUUGUUAAAGUAUUUAAAAAACGUUUCAAUUAUUAUUUUUUUUUAUUCUGCCUGUCUAUGUGCUUAAGUAUGCGUUUCUAUGCAUCUCUAGGCGUUUUCUAUAAUCUACGCCUACGUGUAUUACUGGUUCAUCAUAUGUGCAAUUUGAAUUUUGGAAUCUUUUUUUGCGAUAAAAUAAAAAAACGGUGAAACAUCACGUGAAAGGAAGUAGGAAUGUUGUAUCAUUAUUAUUGUGAAAUUAAAUCAAUUAAGAUCAAGUUGAUGAUAAUCUAAAAAAGAUAAAA